rnacentral:rRNA from 1 species
UCCGUGACGGCGUGCCUUUUGCAUAAUGAGCCUACGAGUUACCGUUGCUAGCAAGGUUAAGGACUUCAGGUCCGGAUCCGUAGCGAAAGCGAGUCUGAAUAGGGCGCUUUAGUUAGUAGUGGUAGACGCGAAACCGUGUGAUCUACCCAUGGGCAGGUUGAAGCUGUAGUAACAUACAGUGGAGGCCCGAACCGGUUGACGUUGAAAAGUCUUCGGAUGACCUGUGGGUAGGGGUGAAAGGCCAAUCAAACUCGGAAAUAGCUCGUACUCCCCGAAAUGCAUUUAGGUGCAGCGUUGAUUUAUAGUUUUAUAGAGGUAGAGCUACUGAUUGGAUGCGGGGGCUUCACCGCCUACCAAUUCCUGACAAACUCCGAAUGCUAUAAAAUGUUAAUCAGCAGUGAGGGCAUGGGUGCUAAGGUCCAUGUCCGAGAGGGAAAGAACCCAGACCAUCAGCUAAGGUCCCCAAAUGUAUGUUAAGUUGAAUAAACGAGGUUGAACUGCUUAGACAGCUAGGAUGUUGGCUUGGAAGCAGCCAUUCAUUUAAAGAGUGCGUAACAGCUCACUAGUCGAGCGGUUCGGCAUGGAUAAUAAUCGGGCAUAAACAUACUACCGAAGCUAUGGACUUGUAAAAGUGGUAGGGGAGCAUUGUAGUGUCGUCGAAGGUGAAGCGUGAGCUUUGCUGGAGAAGCUACAAAAGAAAAUGUAGGCAUAAGUAACGAUAAUGCGGGCGAGAAACCCGCACUCCGAAAGACUAAGGUUUCCUCAGCUAUGCUAAUCAGCUGAGGGUUAGUCGGGACCUAACGCGAACCCGAAAGGGGUAGUGGAUGGACAACAGGUUAAUAUUCCUGUACCUGCUCACACUAAAAGUGACGGAGGCGAAUAGUUAGUGCGCACAGACGGAAUUGUGCGUUGAAGGGAACAGUAAUGUCCUGAUAGUACACUAAGACUACGGUCGCGGUGAUAAUCUAGCGAAUCGACUUCCAAGAAAAGCGAGUGAAGCAGCCCGUACCCUAAACCGACACAGGUAGUUGGGAUGAGAAUUCUAAGGUGCUCGAGAGAUUCAUGGCUAAGGAACUAGGCAAAAUAGACGCGUAACUUCGGGAGAAGCGUCGCCCAUCGUAAGAUGGGCCGCAGUGAAAAGAUCCAAGCGACUGUUUAUCAAAAACACAGGGCUCUGCUAAAUCGAAAGAUGACGUAUAGGGCCUGACACCUGCCCGGUGCUGGAAGGUUAAGUGGAGGGCUUAGAGGUUUACCUCGAAGGUCUGAAAUGAAGCCCCAGUAAACGGCGGCCGUAACAAUAACGGUCCUAAGGUAGCGAAAUUCCUUGUCGGGUAAGUUCCGACCUGCACGAAUGGCGUAACGACCUCCCCGCUGUCUCCAACGUUGACUCAGCGAAAUUGAAUUGCCUGUCAAGAUGCAGGCUUCCCGCGGUUAGACGGAAAGACCCCAUGCACCUUUACUAUAGCUUCGCACUGGCAACAGGUACAGCAUGUGCAGGAUAGGUGGUAGGCUUUGAAGCAGGGACGCCAGUCUCUGUGGAGCCUCCCUUGAGAUACCACCCUUGCUUUGCUUGUUGUCUAACCGCGGUCCGUUAUCCGGAUCCGGGACCCUGCGUGGUGGGUAGUUUGACUGGGGCGGUCGCCUCCCAAACAGUAACGGAGGCGCGCGAAGGUUGGCUCAGAGCGGUCGGAAAUCGCUCGUUGAGUGCAAUGGCAUAAGCCCGCCUGACUGCGAGACUGACAGGUCGAGCAGAGUCGAAAGACGGCCAUAGUGAUCCGGUGGUCCCGAGUGGAAGGGCCAUCGCUCAACGGAUAAAAGGUACGCCGGGGAUAACAGGCUGAUACUGCCCAAGAGUCCAUAUCGACGGCAGUGUUUGGCACCUCGAUGUCGGCUCAUCUCAUCCUGGGGCUGGAGCAGGUCCCAAGGGUACGGCUGUUCGCCGUUUAAAGAGGUACGUGAGCUGGGUUUAGAACGUCGUGAGACAGUUCGGUCCCUAUCUGCCGUGG